CGGGGCGUGGCGCAGCUUGGUAGCGCGCGUGCUUUGGGAGCACGAGGUCCCGGGUUCAAAUCCCGGCGCCCCGA
rnacentral:tRNA from 1 species